rnacentral:rRNA from 1 species
CUACAGGCUUAACACAUGCAAGUCGAGGGGAAACGACAUCGAAAGCUUGCUUUUGAUGGGCGUCGACCGGCGCACGGGUGAGUAACGCGUAUCCAACCUGCCCAUCACUUGGGAAUAACCUUGCGAAAGUAAGACUAAUACCCAAUGACAUCCCACGAAGGCAUCCGAAUGGGAUUAAAGAUUUAUCGGUGAUGGAUGGGGAUGCGUCUGAUUAGCUUGUUGGCGGGGUAACGGCCCACCAAGGCAACGAUCAGUAGGGGUUCUGAGAGGAAGGUCCCCCACAUUGGAACUGAGACACGGUCCAAACUCCUACGGGAGGCAGCAGUGAGGAAUAUUGGUCAAUGGGCGAGAGCCUGAACCAGCCAAGUAGCGUGCAGGAAGACGGCCCUAUGGGUUGUAAACUGCUUUUAUAAGGGAAUAAAGUGGGUCACGUGUGACUUUUUGCAUGUACCUUAUGAAUAAGGACCGGCUAAUUCCGUGCCAGCAGCCGCGGUAAUACGGAAGGUCCGGGCGUUAUCCGGAUUUAUUGGGUUUAAAGGGAGCGUAGGCCGGAGAUUAAGCGUGUUGUGAAAUGUAGAGGCUCAACCUCUGCACUGCAGCGCGAACUGGUCUUCUUGAGUACGCACAACGUGGGCGGAAUUCGUGGUGUAGCGGUGAAAUGCUUAGAUAUCACGAAGAACUCCGAUUGCGAAGGCAGCUCACGGGAGCGCAACUGACGCUGAAGCUCGAAAGUGCGGGUAUCGAACAGGAUUAGAUACCCUGGUAGUCCGCACGGUAAACGAUGGAUGCCCGCUGUUGGCCUGAAUAGGUCAGCGGCC